rnacentral:tRNA from 1 species
GCUGGUGUAGCUCAAUGGCCAGAGCAAUUGUCCUGUAAACAAUAGGCUGCAGGUUCGACUCCUGUCACCAGCU